rnacentral:rRNA from 1 species
CCUACGGGAGGCAGCAGUGAGGAAUAUUGGUCAAUGGACGAGAGUCUGAACCAGCCAAGCCGCGUGAAGGAUGACUGCCCUAUGGGUUGUAAACUUCUUUUAUAUGGGAAUAAAAUGUUCCACGUGUGGGUUUUUGUAUGUACCAUAUGAAUAAGGAUCGGCUAACUCCGUGCCAGCCGCCGCGGUAAUACGGUGGAUCCGAGCGUUAUCCGGAUUUAUUGGGUUUAAAGGGAGCGUAGGGGGAUGGUUAAGUCAGUUGUGAAAGUUUGCGGCUCAACCGUAAAAUGGCAGUUGAAACUGGCAGUCUUGAGUACAGUAGAGGUGGGCGGAAUUCGAGGUGUAGCGGUGAAAUGCUUAGAUAUCACGAAGAACUCCGAUUGCGAAGGCAGUUCACUGGACUGCAACUGACACUGAGGCUCGAAAGUGUGGGUAUCAAACAGGAUUAGAUACCCUAGUAGUC